AGUUCUCCUCACAAUGAGGCUCCCUGCUCAGCUCCUGGGACUGCUCAUGCUCUGGGUCCCUGGAUCCAGUGGGGAUAUUGUGAUGACCCAGACUCCACUCUCCCUGCCCGUCACCCCUGGACAGCCGGCCUCCAUCUCCUGCAGGUCUAAUCAGAGCCUCCUGCAUAGUAAUGGAAACACCUAUUUGUCUUGGUUUCUGCAGAAACCAGGCCAGUCUCCACAGCUCCUGAUCUAUAGGGUUUCCAACCGGGCCUCUGGACUUCCCGACAGGUUCAGUGGCAGUGGGUCAGUCACUGAUUUCACACUGAAAAUCAGCAGGGUAGAGGCUGAGGAUAUUGGAGUUUAUUACUGCAUGCAAGCUACACAAACUCCUCCCACAGUGCUACAUCCUUGAACAAAUACCUCCCUGCCUGGUUGGUCCAGCUGUCCACAAGUUCUGCUUGUCUGGGGAGGAGCUGAGCAGUGUCUCUGAGUCUGCAGAAGAGAAGGCUGUUGGAACCAGCCAUCACAGGGUAGGGUUUGCUGCUGCGGAUGCUGCAGCACCUCAGAUCCCACCUCAGAUCCCACAGGCCUGUCAGUUGCCACAGUCUGGUGAAGGCAUUGGCAGGAGAAGUCAUGGGUCACACAUGAAAUAAAACAGCUAUGAAGAAGGGAGAGUGAAUGAAAACCCACAUCCUCACCCUCUCUGUCUUGCCCACAUUUGUCAAGUACAUGCAGCUGUCAGAAUAACCAGACCAUGGAUGCAGCUGAGUGACAACACAAGUGGAACACAUAUGGGAAAUGACCAACUUGGGGUUUUUUACAUACACUAUGACACUUAGUCAUAUUGGGAAAUUCAUAGUUGCCUAUCUUCCAAAUUCUGCUCUCUGACUCCCACUAAACCCUCCUCUCCAGUGUCUUACAGGAGAAAACAUUCUACACCAGCUGUCUGCAGGGGAGUAUGACCAAGAACACUUAGUAAAAAUGUUUGAUGUUGGAUGACUCCGAUAGACUUUGUAAACUCAUGGCAG